rnacentral:rRNA from 1 species
GACGUAGGGGGCAAGCGUUGUCCGGAAUCACUGGGCGUAAAGCGCGCGCAGGCGGCGAUCUACGUCCGGGGUGAAAGCCCAGAGCUCAACUCUGGGACUGCCUUGGAUACGGGAUCGCUUGAGGAUCGGAGAGGCAAGGGGAAUUCCACGUGUAGCGGUGAAAUGCGCAGAUAUCAGGAGGAACACCGGUGGCGAAGGCGGGUCUCUGGGCCGAAACUGACGCUGAGGAGCGAAAGCGUGGGGAGCAAACAGG